UGUUGCGCCCAGCUUGGGCAGAUCCAAGCCUGGCUUGGCACGAAAACUGAACUAUAAAUUCAAAACAUUUUCUGAUUUUUAGGUUACAAAAUUCUGGAUCAAAAACUGAUUUUUGACGGCUAUUUCAGAGGAUCAAAGAGACAUUCAAGCAAGGAUUCAAGGGUGGAAACACAUCUAAUCCCUUCUUGUAAUGAUGAUUUCUUUCACUCAUGUUAAUGUAAUUUCUUAUUUGANN
rnacentral:lncRNA from 1 species